AACAGGAACAACAACAGGUACCACAACAGGAACAACAACUGGAACCACAACAGGUACCACAACAAGAACAACAACUGGAACCACUCCAGAAACAACUCCUGCCACAACAACAGAGUGUGUUCCCGGCAGCAGAGAAAGAAUAUGUGAUUGGAGUGAAUGGAUUAACGAUGAUUCUGGACAAAUGCAAUCUGAGAGUGCUUCAGCUGAGGAAGUUGAACUACUUGAAGAUGCCCGGCACUUCCCU